AAAGGAAGGCGGCGGCUGAUUUUUUAGUUGAAAUUGCUAGCCCUUGUAAUUGGUUUUGGGCUAUGAAUUGUAUGGUGUAUUUUGCAGCUACUGAUUGUCAUUAAUUUUUUCCGAAUACCUAGAAGUGAUAAUUGCUCUAAACUAAUUAACCCGGCCCAAGAGACUCUCAAUCCGGUGACCCGUCUCCACCUCUAUCGUUAACGCCUAAAAAUCCCAACUUUAACCUAUCUCCCAAUAGAUCUACCUAGUUGAAGAAUGGUUCUUUGACACUUCCGCAAAAAAGAUCCGAUCUUUAAUGUUAUUUAGCAAAAAUCUAUUCCUUGGCAAUAAAGAUCGGUUCUUUAAUAUUGUGGAUUUUGGCUUAAUUAGCCGUGCUUCAAUUGAAUAUUUUCUUCAAUCCUACUGUAAGAUCUAUUUCAGAAAGGUGAAAACAAGUUGAGUUUGGGUUCUGAUUGUUAUCUGUUUUUGUUUAUUUUAUUUGGAUUUUGACUUUUAAGAUCUAUUCAGUAAUUCUAGUUCUAUGCUAUUUUCCUGAGUAUCUGCUUUGUUUUCUUUGAAAACCUUCUCUAGUAUUGACAAGAUCUGAAUUUCCUUUCUUACACUUUGUUGAAGAUUGGUUCUUUUGCAAAAAAAAAAAUCCGUUUUUUUGGCAAUCUUCUUUUACGAACAUUUCGGUACUUUGGCAAUCUUCUUCUAUCUUUGGCAAUUCUGGGAAUUCUGGGAUUUUGCUUGAUUAGCCUAUCA
rnacentral:lncRNA from 1 species